rnacentral:lncRNA from 1 species
AGGCCAUACGUGAAGGGAAGGGAGUUUUUUUUAAUUUUCUUUUCACUUUAAAGCCAUUUUCAAAUUCAUUUAAAAUCUAUUUGAAAUAUUUUUGGACUUCGAUCAAAUCACUCAGUAUGAUAAAAUAAAUUCUCUAGUAUGAAUGCGCAAACAAGUUGCUAAGUCCUAUGAUAAUUUUAUUUUUUAAAAAAAAUAUAUUAUUUUUCUAUGUUUCAUG